rnacentral:sRNA from 1 species
CAUGGACUUAUGAGAGCAGUCUGGGUGUAUAGCCCUUUAAAGGAAGGUGUUUUUUCAGGAGCUAGUGUUGCACGGGUUUCUCUGUUUAAAGGCAUUAUUAGUAUGUGUUCCCCAGAAACAGUGGUUUGGCAUCUGCUUUGAGGGCAGUGCUCUGGCUUACGAGCUUAUAAACUGAAGAUGGAUAUCCGUUACCCUGUUUUCAUUUUGAACUACUUAGCAUUUUGGGAAAAUCUCCAAAGGCUUUGCAUUCUCUAAUGUUAUUGCUACGUGUGUUUUUACCUCACUUUUCUUAAUUCUGCCUUCUCAUUUGUUCAGGCCGAAAGGGAAUAUGUCUCUAAAAAUUUGCCUUUCAAAAUAUAACGGAGGAGCAGUUCUAUAUUUAUUCUGGGGCUAGCUACUUCAAAUACUAGAAUCGUUUCCUAAAGUAUGUAUUAGAUUAUUUGCCCAUCAGAUAUUACUGAUGCAGAAAGAGAAACUGCUCGUCCUCCACCCUGGGUCUUUCUAAAGCAGAAGUAUUGAUAUAUUUAAUCUUCUACAGGAUAUUCAAAUAGAAGCCUUGCUGAUGAGAGCCUGUGAGCCCAUAAUUCAGAACUUCUGCCACGAUGUGGCAGAUAACCAGAUAGACUCUGGGGACCUGAUGGAGUGUCUGAUACAGAACAAACACCAGAAGGACAUGAACGAGAAGUGUGCCAUCGGAGUCACCCACUUCCAGCUGGUGCAGAUGAAGGAUUUUCGGUUUUCUUACAAGUUUAAAAUGGCCUGCAAGGAGGACGUGUUGAAGCUUUGCCCAAACAUAAAAAAGAAGUAUGUAGCUUGUAGUUGUUUCAUUCCACUUUCCCGAAGUCCCUCUUAGCUGAGGAAUGAGUAUGCGAGAUGUCAGGCAGCCCUCCUGCUGCCUGGUGGGGUUAGCCCUGGAGGCCUCCCACGUCUCUCCUUUGAUUAGCGUGGCAAACACUCGGACUGUCUGGACAGAGCAUCUGGCGAUGGUAGUUCUCACAUGGAGGUCCCAUAGGCUAAAGGAGCAUUUUUAAUUUUUCCAGGUCAGGCCAUCUAACUGAUGAAGUAGGGUUGGAUUUUGUACUUAGAGAAGCAGGGUGCAGUGUGAGUGAAAGAGGCGAACUGACUUCCCUGCGUCAUCCCGUUAUGUCAUCUCAUCUAAGAUGCAGCAGUUUUUGUAUCGGGUUAGAUAUUUCGUGAAGAAACAGAAUCUUUAUUCAUUUAAGAAUGAAGUCUUAAUGAGGAAACUGAUAAGCUUUUUCAGCGUGACUGCCCAAAUUCUUCCAUGUUGCUCUUUGAAAGGGCCAUUUCUAGAACACUUGCUCUCAUAUAAACCAAAUUCCCAGUUUGCUCAGGUUUCUCUACCUUUCAGGAGUGAGUUUCACAGUAGGUCAAAGGUACAGCCCUAGAGUUAAGAGCAGCAUUCCUCUGUGGUCACAUGUUUUUAACACAGAUGUUGAACUGUCCUUGCACACAUAUGCCCUGUCUGGCUUCCCCUUCCAUCAGGAAUGUAGUCAGCAUUCGUGCUGCUGCCUGCCUUUCAUGACACCCACAGUCAAAUUGCAGCUUUUAGCACCCUGAAAAAAAAACCGGUGAGCCUUACAGGAAAGAUAUUCCCCAAAAAGGCAUCUUGAAUUCUUAAUGGUGUGACCGCCCCCAGCCCGGCUGUCAGGCCAUCUGCCCUUGUGUGCCCCCAGCCAGCCUCAAGCUUCUCCUUUCAUCUGCAGGGUGGACGUGGUGAUCUGCCUGAGCACGACCGUGCGCAACGACACUCUGCAGGAAGCCAAGGAGCACAGGGUGUCCCUGAAGUGCCGCAGGCAGCUCCGCGUGGAGGAGCUGGAGAUGGUAAUGCCUCCCAGCUUUUGCUCCCCGAAACCACAGUGGGCCAGGGCUUGGAAAGCUGGGGAGAGGCCAGGGCAAGGGGGAGGCAUUUUAUCCACUACUGUGAUGGUUAAGACUUGAAGUCCUGUGCAAAAGUUUUACCAUACGACCAUUAGCUUCCUGUGUCAUUCUUUUGAUUUUGAAUGAUAAAACCUUUCUUCCCACAUAUAACUGGAAGUCCAGCUGUAAGACAGGCUCUAACUAAGCAUGUGAUCCAAUCACUGUAUCAGUAAUGUCCUCAGGGGCCGGAUGCGGUGGCUCAUGCUGGUAAUCCCAGCACUUUGGGAGGUCGAGGCAGGUGGAUCGCCUGAGGUCGGGAGUUCAAAACCAGCCUGGCCAGCGAGAUGAAACCCUGCCUGUACUAAAAGAGACUUAGGCCAGCGAGGUGGCUCAUGCCUGUAAUUCCAGCACUUUGGGAGGCCAAUGCGGUCAAAUCACUUGAGGUCUGGAAUUCAAGACCAGCCUGGCCAACAUGGCGACACCCCAUCUCUACUAAAAAUACAAAACUUAGCCAGCUGUGGUGGCACAUACCUGUAAUCCCAGCUACUUUAGAGACUGAGGCAGGAGAAUCACUUGAACCAGGACAUGGAGGUUGCAGUGAGCUGAGAUGGUGCCACUGUACUUCAGCCUGGGUGACAGAGUGAGACUCUGUCUCA